GGAGUCUGGGCCGUAUCUCAGUCCCAGUGUGGCCGGUCAUCCUCUCAGAUCGGCUAAUCAUCGUCGCCUUGGUAGGCCUUUACCCUACCAACUAGCUAAUGAUACGCGAGCCCAUCUCUAACCGAUAAAUCUUUGAUUAUAUAGUGAUGCCACUUCAUAAUAUUAUGCGGUAUUAGCACCUAUUUCUAAGUGUUAUCCCCCUGUUAGAGGUAGGUUGCUCACGCGUUACUCACCAGUCCGCCACUAGCUUGCACUAUUGCACUAAAUUAACUUCUUUAGUUAACUUAGUGCAAUAACGCUCACCCGUUCGACUUGCAUGUGUUAAGCACGCCGCCAGCGUUCGUCCUCGAGCCAGGAUCAAACUACU
rnacentral:rRNA from 1 species